rnacentral:rRNA from 1 species
GAUGAACGCUGGCGGCGUGCCUAACACAUGCAAGUCGAGCGAACGGACGAGAAGCUUGCUUUUCUGAUGUUAGCGGCGGACGGGUGAGUAACACGUGGCUAACCUAUCUAUAAGACUGGGCUAACUUCGGGAAACCGGAGCUCAUACCAGAUAAUAUUUUGAACCUCAUGGUUCAAAAGAGAAAGACGGUCUUGCUGUCACUUAUAGAUGGAUCCGGGCUGCAUUGGCUAGUUGGUAGGGUAACGGCUUAGCAAGGCAACGAUGCGUAGCCGACCUGAGAGGGUGGUCGGCCACACGGGAACUGAGACACGGUCCAGACUCCUACGGGAGGCAGCAGUAGGGAAUCUGCCGCAGUGGGCGAAAGCCUGACGGAGCGACGCCGCGUGAGUGAUGAAGGUCUUCGGAUCGUAAAGCUCUGUUAUUAGGGAAGAACAUAUGUGAGAAGAACUGUGCACAUCGUGACGGUACCUAAACAGAAAGCCACGGCUAACUACGUG